CCUACGGGUGGCAGCAGUGAGGAAUAUUGGUCAAUGGGCGCGAGCCUGAACCAGCCAAGUCGCGUGAGGGAAGACUGCCCUAUGGAUUGUAAACCUCUUUUGUCGGGGAGUAAAAGUCGCUAUGCGUAGCGUUUCGUGUGUACCCGAUGAAUAAGCAUCGGCUAACUCCGUGCCAGCAGCCGCGGUAAUACGGAGGAUCCGAGCGUUAUCCGGAUUUAUUGGGUUUAAAGGGUGCGUAGGCGGAAGAUGAAGUCAGGCGUCCAAUUUGGGGGCUCAACCGCAGAACUGCAGUUGAUACUGCGUGCCUUGAGUGCAGCAGAGGUAUGCGGAAUGCGUGGUGUAGCGGUGAAAUGCAUAGAUAUCACGAAGAACUCCGAUUGCGAAGGCAGCAUACCGGCGCGUAACUGACGCUGAUGCACGAAAGCGUGGGUAUCGAACAGGAUUAGAUACCCUAGUAGUC
rnacentral:rRNA from 1 species